CAACAGAGCUUUCCUGGUGGGAAGUGGGGGCCCUGGGGGCAACCUGGAGACCCCCUGAGACUCGGGGUCAUAAGCCAAGUUUGGUUUCUGUUAGUAAUACUCUUCCUAGCCUAUGCACACUGGCUCCUUCUCCUCUGCUGGGCUGGGCCUAGUUGGGGGUGCCUGCUGUCCUGGGAUUCUCAGGCCUGCUUUGCUUCUGGAGAACCCACAGAGUAGUCCAGAAAUCCACUUCUGCAGGCCCCCAGAUGUUGAUGAGGUCAAUUAGAAUCAGGGCAAGUUGUGGUUGCAAAAAGGGUACAUACACCCCACCCCGAUUUUUCAGGCCAGGGUUCCCUUCCCAGUCUUCCUUGCUGGGGAUUCUCAGAGCAGCAGCUUUCAUUCCUCCCAGUCCUAUAAGGCUGUAGCCUCCCUUGUUUCCUGACCCCGUGGAACCAGCCACCAGCAAAACUGCUCUUUGGAACCUUAGCCUGGAAAGAGGCAAGGUUGGUGAUCGAAAUAUUUAGAAAGAGAAACUCAGAACUACCCCAGCUAUGGAGCGCACGCCCAGGCCUGGCCUGGGCCGGGCUGAUGGGCGUGGGGACAGAUACAUGAGAACUAUGUAUGUCCUCUCUUCUCCCUCCUCUUCCCAAAACUCCGCAGACACCCCUCCCUCAUCCUCCCGUCUUGAAUUAAUGCCCCUUUUUAAUUGUAACUAAAGAUCCAAGAUAAAUCAGGGAUGAAGGGAAGAAUGUGAUCUUGCAAUCCCAAGUCCAAAUUGUGGGGAAAGUUGUUAUUUAACAAAAAAGGCAGGAAAGGAUAUGAAUUUUGUUGAGCAGGAGAAGAGGUGCUCAGUGUCGGAUCCUUUAUGAUCUGGGUAAGGAAGUGUGCAUUCCAAUCAUAGCCUCUCUGUGGAAAAUGUAUUUUGUGAGUUCCGGGUUUUAAGGGUGAUAUUCUUAAAACUGUCCAACUGAGUGAGAGGCACAUUCCUCUAAAGAUCUGAUUUCUGUGUGCUGUUGAUACGCUUUUCCUAUGUCAGCCUUUUUAGGAAAACUUACGGAAAACACACAAAGGCCUUUCAAAAUCAGACAAUAAAAAUCUCUAGUGAUUAAAAACACACACACACAACUACUGAGGUGGCCAUAUAAAUACUGGCAUAGUAUCUCUGAUUGGCCCAAAAUAUCACCAUAAAACCACAGUUUGAUGUAUUUAUAAAUACUCAAAAGUAAAAACACUGACGCUUUCCUCAGCUCUCUAAAUCUGGGUUUGUUCCCUACAAUUCCUUAAAAUUGUUUGCAAAAAGAAAUCACAUGGGGACGUAUUUUAAAGAACGAGCAUCAGAAAGCCCUGGUUUGCACCUGGCCUGUGUGUCCCCUGGGUCUGACUUUGCCAGUGGGUAGGCGACAUUCAGGCUGGAAGCUGGGCUCAUUCCCUGGACUGGUCUCCCCCAUCUUGCCUUGGAAGGCCUCCUCACCACCCUCUUGAAUCCCACGUCUCACAUCCUAUAGCCAGUGCAGGGAAUGGGGAGCAUGGGUUCUGCUACGCCUUCAGGCAGAGCAAUCUGAUUUUAGUUUUUUGUUUUCUCUCUAAAGGGUGAAGAUGCUGCCACGAGGACUGAGGACUGUCCUCCUUUAUGCCCUAACCAUUAGGAGGCAGCCUGGGAGCCUGGAAUUCUCUCACCCUGUUCCUACCCCCACUAGAGCAAAAUGCCAGACAGAGCUGGGUUUGUUCAGGAGUGGGGCAGAGCAACCCUUGAACAGAAUUCCCCUUUUCUGGGGCUGUUUGAUGUCUGCAUUUUGGAAAUUUAUAUCAAAAAGCAGUGGUAUCAGAAGGUGGAUUAAGGCCCCUGCUGUUUUUCGACAAGGCAAAAACAAACAUGCAGAUCCAGGUUCUCCAUGCUGGUCCUUGGUCCACCUCCCUUGUGACCACUGUAUGCCUUGCCUUGGCCCUGGGACGUCUGUUUUAGAUUGAGGAUGGGCUAAGAGUGGAGACAGACUGGAGUUUUCUUAUUUGCCUGCAAGCAGCAAGGGAAGCAUGGACCCUGCAGUAUUCAUUCAGGAUCCUGAGGUAUAAUCAGAGGGGGUUAAAGGGAUAGCCUAUCACUGCAGAUAAAGCUUCCCAAAAAACUAACACAUUGAUUUCUUCAAAGGAAGGGCCAAAUUAUUUUUUUAAAAAAAUUAAAUGAAAGUGACUUUCAGUGGGGAGAUACGCAAAUCAGCAAUCCGAAGCUGGUGAGCCUGACUUGCUAUUCCCCCCUUACUGUACGUUUAUUCUAGGAGAGUGAAGGCCUGAGCUUGGUUGUGUGGUGUUUUUUUUUUAACUAGCACAGAAAUCGGGAAAUCAGACGGCUGAAGGUUGUCACUCACUUAUUUUCGUCUUCCAACCUGUCUCAGUCUUUAACUACCGACAGGCAAGAAAUAGAGAUACCCGUGUGAGAUGCAGACUUUUAGAUACAUUGAUUGGCCUCGCCUACCCGAGGAGCGCAUUUCAUAAAGCUUAGCAUGUGUGAAUACGGAAGUUAGUCUGAACAUAAACAACAGCAGCAGCCACAGCAAAAGCCUCCAGUGUACUCGGGAACCAUCCAAUGUGUCAUAAGAAACGUCAGUUAUUUGGACAAGGAAAUGUCGGGAAUGCAGCGACGUAGACAGCUGCGUGCCAUGUUUGUGAGGGUGGCUACUACUCACUCUCUUUCAGGAGUAAAGCUGGUGGAAGAGCAAGGGGAGGUUCAAUUGAGAACGGGGAGACUACGCAUCUCCUAGCUGUGAUCAGAGGGGGGAAAACAUCUCUGAAGCAGAGGACAGCUAACUUCCAGCACACAGACGUAGGUUUACAAUUAAGACUUCGGUUAAGGAAAAUUAAGUGUGGAGUCAGGAGCCAUUAUCCGAACUGGCACAGAAAGGAAGGUCGGCCUGUGGAGGGUAUGUACACUGUCUUCGGGUUCUGUGAAAAAGCGGAAGGAAGACAAGAUGAUAAACUGGCCAGAACUCAUCAGCACCAAGCACAACCUGUUUUCUUCAAAAUAAGGCCUUCGUUUAGCGUUGCAAAAUUAUCUUUAUUUUUUUUUUUAAAAAAAGCCAAAAAAAAAAAAAAAAAGAAAAUCAUCACGUUUGGCUAUAUUUUCAAGACAGUGCUGGCUUUGUCUCACAUUCCUAUUAGCAUUCUAGGGGAAGCUGACUAACUGUAAACUGCAGGAAUUUGUAACAUUAGUUGCAUGGAUUUGUGUCAUUUUAAAAUAGGUCAAUGCUUGGAAGUCUUGUUAGUGAAGGCAACUCAAGGCUUUCCCAAUGAUCUAGUUAGCCCCCAUGCACAGCCAAUUUUGGGGUAAAUAUCAAUAAAUCAAAGCACAGAAUAUAUUCCACAAAGGCAUUAUUUUUCUACUUAUAUAUCUGGGGCUGAAGCACUCUGAAAUCGUUACCAGCUUGUCUCUAAGUACAGAAGCCCUCCACUAAAUGUUCACAGAGAUAUACGAUUUGCUAACACAGUUACAACCAGAUAUGUACUUGGAGUUAUAUCUAAGCGAGGGUGGAUUUUCUUUUUCCUAUUUAAGACAAGUGACCUACAAAGUUUUUUAAAAAAAAAAAAACACACAACUUUGAUUUGUCCAAAGUGUGUAUGUUAUACCUCGUCAGGCCUUGGUAACAAGAAAAUCACAGUGUGUAAAGGAAGAAGGCAAAAUAAUCGAUUGUAGCCAAAAAGGCAAAAAUUGUUUAUCUGUACCAUUAAAUGCGUAUUUGCCCCAGCCAGCUCUGAUGUGCUUGCUGUAUUUCACUCUCUCAUGUCUAUCUAGAUGGGCGUGCUUCUGUAGCAGAAGCUUAGGGCGAUAUCGAGAAGGCCCAGUUCCUCUGUUUAUUUCACCAGAGGGCAAUGACGGUUCAACUCAUUUGGAAACCGAAAACUUUGGGGGGAAAAAAAUUGAGAGGUCCUAAUUUACAACUAUAUUAAAUAUUGCUAAUUACUAAAAAAGGCCAGCCUCCCCACCUCACAAAACAGCCUAAGCUUCACCCUGAAUUAGUUCCUCCCUUUUCCUCCUGGAGAGAAAGGAUGCAGUUUACACUUGGAAUGCGAUUGUUGGACCCAGUUAAACUGUACGCUAAGAAACUGAGUACAGAAUCAAAAAAAAAAAAAAAAUGCAGUUUAUUAUUGUAGAUUAUUCUUUCUCUUGAUAUAACCAGAAUUGAAAAUGAAAGAAAAGCACAUAGGAACAUCACGCGUGGUUAGUUAGUAACUCAAGAUAUAAAACAAUUUUGCACAGCAAAAUAUGUAAAAGAAAAGUAACUGACAAGAUUUUUUUAUAUUUAUUGUGGUAAGAUUUACUUUUCAUUUUUUUUUUUUUUGUAAAGACAGGAUGUCAGUCCCUGAAAAUAACAUUUACUGAUUAUUGCCUUUAAAACUGUGGAUUUUUUUUUUAAGUUACAGAAAAUCCAGUUCUGCACCACAAUACAACUGUAAAAAAAUCUGCAUCAUCUUAAAACUGUGCAGUAAUGCCAUUUUUAUAACUGCAUAAAUUUUAUUAGCGUUCUAAACAGUUUUGCCAUUUUUUUGUAUUAUAUGCUUGCAGGUUAUAUCUUAGUGCAAUUCAGUCCCAAAUACUUUAAUUUUGAAAAAAAAAAACAUACAUUUUGAAUGUAAAAUACCCCUACAGAUAUAAACAGGGUGAUUCCCCUUUUAAUACUUUGGUUUUCAAUACAGUCAGUGAUAUAGCAAAGACUACACAUACCCAACUUAUAUUUAAGUUGCAAGCACAUGCUGUAUAAGCUACUUUUUUUUAAACAGUCCCCUUGCAAACUCUACCCCCCUUAACAUCACAACAGUAAACAAUUGAGUGCACCAAUCUUUUAAAAAAUCUACAGCUAAACAGACCUAACUCUUCCAAAUUUAUCUAUAACAUUCCUUUAUCUGUAGCAUACAUUUUAACUGAGCUAACAGAUUAUUAAAAACUAGAAUUAAAUUAUAUACUAGAAACCCAUAGCAUUCCGUAUUUGACAAUGACCAAAAGCAAAAAAAAAAAAAAAUUAAUAAUAA